CCUACGGGAGACAGCAGUAGGGAAUCUUCCACAAUGGGCGAAAGCCUGAUGGAGCAACGCCGCGUGGGUGAAGAAGGUCUUCGGAUCGUAAAACCCUGUUGUUAGAGAAGAAAGUGCGUGAGAGUAACUGUUCACGUUUCGACGGUAUCUAACCAGAAAGCCACGGCUAACUACGUGCCAGCAGCCGCGGUAAUACGGAGGAUGCGAGCGUUAUCCGGAUUUAUUGGGUUUAAAGGGUGCGCAGGCGGAGGCACAAGUCAGCGGUAAAAUCGCGGGGCUCAACCCCGCUCCGCCGUUGAAACUGUGUCCCUUGAGUGCGCGAAGGGUAGGCGGAAUGCGUGGUGUAGCGGUGAAAUGCAUAGAUAUCACGCAGAACUCCGAUCGCGAAGGCAGCCUACCGGCGCGCAACUGACGCUCAUGCACGAAAGCGUGGGUAUCGAACAGGAUUAGAUACCCCAGUAGUC
rnacentral:rRNA from 1 species